UUUUUUUUUUUUUUUUUUUUGGCCAUACCUGUGGUAUGCGGAAGUUCCCAGGCCAAGGAUUAAAACCAUGCCACAGCAGUGACCCAAGCCAUAGCAGUGACAACACCAGGUCCUUAACCCACUGUGCCACCAGGGCACUCCUCCCCCACCCCACUCCAUUUUGAAUUCCACACUCUUAUCAGUUUUGUUCUAGCCAUGUCACUGGCCUGCUUAGUAGAUUGUCUUGGUUCUCCGUUGUCCUUAGAAUCUAAACCAAACUCACAGAGCACCUUUGGAGUUGGCCUCUCCACUUCGGCCCCUUCCACUGCACUGGAUGCAGGGUAUAAAUGCAGACCUGAUAAGCACUGCAGGAGUUCUCUCUGGGAUAGAUAUCCAGCUUAGUACUCCCAUAGCCCUUCCCCACACUUGGCACUUUGCAGCUUGCUGUUUUUGCUGGUCUAACUGGUAUAAAAUACUUAUGGGUGAGUCAUGCUUGCCUUUGCUUUGCGCCUCUUGUCACUGCUUGCUCACAAACUGUACCAUCUUCUCUUGGAGCACCCGUCAUUUUCUUCCUGAUUUGCAUUAGAUCCUUGUCAGGUUUAGAUAUGGCAAAAACCUUCUCUUGGGCCUGUCCAUACUUCAUCCACAGUCUGGAUGCAACUAGUAUAGAGAAUAGAGAAUAGUAUAGAGAAUAAAUCCCUAAUUAAUUAAUUUAUUUAUUUUUUGGCUGCCUCGAGGCAUGUGGAGUUCCCGGGCUAGGGAUCUGAUCUGAGCCUCAGUUGUGACCUAAGCUGAUGCUGCAGCAACACUGGAUCCUUAACCGACUGUGCUGGGCUGGAGAUCUAACCUGCAUCACAGAGCUCCAGAGAUGCCAUCAAUCCCAUUGCACCACAGCAGGAACUCUGAGAUAUUCCCAAUUUUGAUGAAAGUAAAUGAACACAUUUCUUGCCUGAAUGUAUUUGUGAGCCUCUUCAAGAUCAUUAAAUCUCCUCUAUGAAGUUAGUCACCAUCUCCUCUAGGAUCUUGAAAGACUUUAUUCUCUCUUCUUUUAUUUUAUUCUCUUUAAAGAAUUGCUUUAGAUGUUCUGUCUUGUUUCCUGAAGUCUGACCUCCUGAGGUAAGAACCGGCCGUGAUUCAUCUCUGAAUCCCUAGUGCACUCUGACUUAUGGUAGAUCCGUGUUGGUGGAAUGAAUAAGUGACCUAUGUCGUUAUCUUUGUGGAAUUCCAGUAAGUCAUUUCCUCUCAAGCCUACCGUGCCUUAGUAGUGAGCCUUGCGUUCCCAUGGUUUCUCUUUUCUUUUUUUUUUUUUUUUUAGAGUUUUUUUUGUUUGUUUGUUUUUUGUGUUUUUUUAAAGUAUGGUUGAUUUACAUGCUGUGCCAAUUUCUGCUGCACAGUGAAGCAACUCAGUCAUACAUAUAUAUACCUUCUUUUUUCAAUAUUACUUUCCAUCAUGGUCUAUCCCAGGAGACUGGCUAUAGCUGAGAAAUUUCUGCUCCCAUGCUCUCUUUUGCCCACAGUUAUUUGGAACUGGAGCUCAGACGGAAUGAGCCUUUUAGCAUCAGAUGCUGGUCUGGAGAGAUCUUGAAGGAGGGAGCCCUUCAGGGGGCACAGGUGCUGCUUCCUGGAGAGGGGGGCGUGGUCUGAAGAGAGGAGAGGCCAAAGUCCUGGGGCCAGGGGGGAGAGAGCAGGUUUUCUUGGUUCUUGCCAGGUGUUCUGCUUCUGAUUCCUCAUGAAGCUUUGGCCAUGGUCUUCAUUCCUUUACCUAGAGAAAGCUCCAGGAACUGUCCCAAAGAUACCUAUUCACAUGGGUUUUUUACAUUUUUUUGAACUGAAGUAUAGUUGACGUACAAUGUUGUGUUAAUGUCUGCUGUACAGCAAAGCGACUCAGUUAUAUAUACACACAUAUACUGCCCUGUGCUCUACAGUAGGACCUUGUAUUUUAUCCAUUCUAUACAUAAUAGUUGGCCUCUACUAACUCCCAAUCUAUCACUCCUCCACUCGCAGCCCCUCCCCCUUGGUAACCAUAGGUCUGUUCUCUAUGUCUGUGAGUCUGUUUCUGUUCUGCAGAUAGGUUCAUUUGUGCCAUAUAUUAGAUUCCACAUAUGAGUGAUUUCACAUGGUAUUUGCCUUUCUCUGUCUGACUGACUUCUCUCUAGGUCUGUGUUGCUGCAAAUGAAAUAAUUUAAUUUUUUAUGGCCAAGUAUUAUUCCACUGUAUUUAUCUAUGUUUAUAUCUAUCUGUCUAUACCACAUCUUCUUUAUCCAUCCAUCAGUGGACGUUUAGGUUGUUUCCAUGUCUUAGCUAUGGUGGAUAGUGCUCAAAUGAACAUAGGGUUGCAUGUAUCUUUUCAAUUACAGUUUUGUCCAGAUGUGUGCCCAGGUGUGGAUUACUGGAUCACAUGAUAAUUCUUUUUUUUUUAUUUUUGUUGUCUUUUUGCCUUUUCUAGGGCCACUCCCACGGCAUAUGGAGGUUCCCAGGCUAGGGGUCCAGUCAGAGCUGUAGCCACUGGCCUACGCCAGAGCCACAGCAACGCAGGAUCUGAGCCGCAUCUGCAACCUACACCACAGCUCAGGCAACACCUGAUCCUUAACCCACUGAGCAAGGGCAAGGAUCCAACCCACAACCUCAUUGUUCCUAGUCGGAUUUGUUAACCACUGCGCCACGACGGGAACUCCUCACAUGGUGAUUCUAUAUUCAGUUUUCUGAGGAACUUCCAUUGUGUUUUCCAUAGUGGGUGUACCAGUUUACAUUCCCACCAACAAUAGUCACAUGUUUUCUACAGAAAAACAGAAUAAUUGCAACUUUCAUAUUUUUCACUAGAUAAUAGUAACUUGUUCAAUAUUUUUAUUAUUAUUAUUUUAUUAUUUUAAUAACCAUACAAGAGUGGACUCACAUACAACUUGUCAUCCACUCUCUCUCUUUUUUUUUUUUUUUUUUUUGUCUUUUUCUAGGGCCGCACCUGCGGCAUAUGGAGGUUCCUAGGCUAGGGGUUGAAUCAGAGCUGUAGCCGCCAGCCACAGCAACGUGGGAACUGAGCCACGUCUGCAACCUACACCACAGCUCACGGCACCACCGGAUACUUAACCCACUGAGCGAGGCCAGGGAUCGAACCCACAGCCUCAUGGUUCCUAGUUGGAUUCAUUAACCACUGCGCCACGACGGGAACUCCCACUCUGUCUUUUUAACUGUCUGUACUUUUUGUUCUUUAAGUGGGCACCAGAGCACUUCCUGCGUGAGGCCUCAUUACAGCUUGAUUCAUCUUUCUGCAAUAACAACACUGAUUAUGUAAACUCCAUUACUGUCUAAGAUAACAUUAAUUCACUUUAUAAUACUUGGCAUCCAAAUUUUUUUUGCAUGAAAGAGGAAAACUCAAAUAGCAAUAUGAUGUGUUGGUGAAAGGACCCAAAAAAAGUUGGAAAUCAAGGUCACUUAUUUAUUUAUUUUCUUUUUCUGUUUUUUGUCUUUUUACAGCUG
rnacentral:lncRNA from 1 species